rfam:Ovis aries breed Texel chromosome 2, whole genome shotgun sequence.
UCCCUGGUGGCUUAGAUGGUAAAGCAUCUGCCUGCAGUGCGGGAGACCCAAGUUCGAUCCCUGGGUUGGGAA